GGCGCCUCCCGCCUGGAGGCGGCCGCAGAGGGCGCUAAGAAAAGCCGAGGUUUUGUUCCCUUCCUCGUCGGCCGGCAGCUGCUGAGCCCGAAGGUGAUCGUGGAAGAAGGGAAAGCGGCGGGUUCUUGCUCAGGGAAGCACGCUUCUCGGGACAGCGCGUCCCCGUCCCUCCCUGAAAGCCGGUUUCCCAGUUUCAAAACAUCCCCCGUUGCAGGAAGAGCUUCUAAGACAUACCCGGAGUGGAAACGACUCUCCAACCGUUAUUAAUUACGCGCGACCUCCGCAACACCCAGACUUGCCGCGACUGAACGCUGCUGUGCUCGCGAUAAAACUGAACGAAACUUUUUGGAAGGGCAGGAAAAUGUAAGAAAAUUCGAAAUACUCCGGACCGAAGCUCCUGAAAGCAGCAGGAAAGGGAUUGGCUUCACCCAGCAAGUCCAGGAAAGGAAGCCUGGCCCUGAGAGGCACAUCUUAGAUGCUGUUGUUUAAGAGGGAAAAGGGUACUGUAACACUGGUAAAGCUUUUCUGCACUGGUGUCUAAGUUGGAUUGCUUACAGCCCUGUGCAAUUCAGGUUUAGUCAGAAAUAGAUCCCACUGAAUUCACUGACACUUGAUUCCAAGUACCUAUAGUAUGCUGGCAUGCAUAGAGAGCUCCUGCUUUCAUGGAGUGACAUGCAGAAAGAUGUUGCUGCUGAUGAAACUGCUCUUCUCAGCAAAAUUGGGACCAUCAAAAUCUACUCUAGAGAACCUCAUAACAGUCCAGAGUAGAUUUUGGAGAUAAGCAGGAAGCUUUUGGAGACAGGAGAGGAGAGCAACACUCCACUUAUCCCUGGAAGCCUCAGAUGUGCAUGGGGGUCCUGCAAUUUCAGACUGGAUUAUAGUAUUGACUAAUUAGCAUCUUCCUUUUUGUCCUCUCUGGGAAAUAUGCAGGAACAUAGCUUUGUUUUCCGUCACUGACCAUCUUUUCUGUAACUCUGCACAUCAGCCAAACAGUUGGUUUGAUUGUUUUCCCCCUUUUGAUUUUUCAGAACAUGAGGAAACUGUCUAUCAAGGCAUUGGUUUGGCUAUUUAUUUGAAUAUUUUUAUUUCAGUAUUUCAAUAUUACUUCUUGGUAUAGUUCUCCACCCCACCCCCAGUUUUCCUUCGUUCUUUAGCACAGACUAGGCAUUUAAUGGAGUAAUAGGACUUUAGUCCCUGACAGAUAUCUUUAUAAUACAUUGUUAUCUGUCAUUAUUACAAGAUUCAGUUGAUUUAUUUAGAUCUGAUUAUGCAACUCCCUAAAAUACUGGCACUAUGCAGUGCUUCAGAUUCAAUUCUAACAAGGUGCUUCACACCAUGAAUAUAGUACUUGCUGCAACUCUUUAAAGCAGAUGCAUCUUUUCCUGGGACUAUGCUGCUGGGGAAAAGUGUGGCUGCUUUAAAUCUUGCAAACUGGUGUAACUUUCAUACACUCCAAAGCACCUUUUUGGAAUCAAAUCCACAACAUUGCACAGCUAUGGGAUAGAAAAUAUCCCAUGAAACAUAAUCUAAAAGGACUUUCAAAAUCUUUUGGCCUUGUAUUGGAUUAUAAAUAAUAACAAAUAAAAAUCUUAAGCCACAGACAAUGGGGUUGGGGACUUCUUGGAUUUCGAAGUAAAAUUAUAGGAUUAUUCACGUUCAAUGAUUUAUGCAGCCUGGAAAAUUUAAGCAACUUGAAAAAAUAUGAUGAUUAGCCACAAGUUCAGAGAAAACAUUCUCUGCUGCUUCUCUGCCUUUUGUCCUUUGGAUAUCCAGCAUUAUUUCUAUCAAGUUCCAGGUAGUGAUUUUACAGUUAUAGUUUAUGUGAAAAUUACACCUCCAUGGUGGUGUUUUUUUUAAAUAACUAAUCAAUUUGACUUCUACUUUGUGUAGUGUGUCAUUGGAUCAUAUAAUAAAAUAUAGAUGAGAGUUUAUAAAGUAGUCUUUUUGCCAUUAAUUACACUUCAAAACAGAGGUCAAUAAAACUAGUAAAAGGGCAAAAGGUUUGAAAUAUGCCUGCACUUAAAAUUAGUCUGCGGUCUAUCAGAUAGAGCUAUCUGCAGACAUUUUAUGCAGACAUUUAUGGAUAUGUAAUAAAACAGAAGGUGAAUUUAUUUUUCUAAUGUGAUUUAUUGCUGCUGCCAGGACUUAUUCUUAUAUAUCCAUUAACAACAACAACAAAAAAAAUUAGGUGGAAGAAAAACGAACUCUGGCUUUUUAAAGUGUGAAAGACGACAGGUCAGAAAAGCAUUUCAGAAUAAUUUUACACCUUUUAACCUUAAAAAAAUACUUUGCUGACAAUUGAGAAAAGGCCUUAAAAGAAGUGCUGAUCGGCAUUCUCACAGCAGGGUUGCCAUGUCCCAUCAUAUAGCAGAGAGUUUCUGCAUAAUGUAUCCUGUAAUAAGAAGCGCGCUGCUGCAAAUCGCAAGACUUGAGAAGCAGCUUUGAGAAAGUAGUCCUUGGCGUGAACUGUGAUUAUGGAUGACACUGAAAGUUUGUCUUUUAAAACUCCUUUGUACUCUGUUUACAGCUGACUUCAGCCUUGGGAGAAAACUUCUCUAUAAUCAACAUUUAUCUGCAUGUACACCUAGUAUUAUUUCUCAAUUUUUCUCUGCUUCAUUUUUAUGCAUGAACAGACUUCUUCAAUGAACAGUGCUCAAUCUAAUUAAAUGAAUAUUUCCUAUUCCUUCCCAUUACUCAAAAUAUUUGUUUUUUUGAAAAUAUCUAAGCUAUAUUCCACAUUAAGAGCCCA